GACGAACGCUGGCGGCGUGCUUUAUGCAUGCAAGUCGAACGCGAAAGCCCCUUCGGGGGUGAGUAGAGUGGCGAACGGGUGAGUAACACGUGGGUAACCUGCCCCUCGCAGGGGGAUAACCGGGGGAAACCCCGGCUAAUACCCCGUACGCUUGCUGGGGCGCAUGCUCCGGCAAGGAAAGGUAGCUUCGGCCAUCCGGCGAGGGAGGGGCCCGCGGCCCAUUAGCUAGUUGGUGGGGUAACGGCCCACCAAGGCGACGAUGGGUAGCUGGCCUGAGAGGGUGGUCAGCCACACUGGGAAUGAGACACGGCCCAGACUCCUACGGGAGGCAGCAGCCAGGAAUCUUGCGCAAUGGGCGAAAGCCUGACGCAGCAACGCCGCGUGGGCGAUGAAGGCCUUCGGGUCGUAAAGCCCUGUUGUCGGGGACGAAGGGCGAAGGGUUAAUAGCCCCUAGCCUGACGGUACCCGACGAGGAAGCCCCGGCUAACUACGUG
rnacentral:rRNA from 1 species